GGGGAUAGCCCGGCGAAAGCCGGAUUAAUACCGCAUACGAUCUACGGAAGAAAGCGGGGGAUCUUCGGACCUCGCGCUAUAGGGGCGGCCGAUGGCAGAUUAGCUAGUUGGUGGGGUAAAGGCCUACCAAGGCGACGAUCUGUAGCUGGUCUGAGAGGACGACCAGCCACACUGGGACUGAGACGCGGCCCAGACUCCUACGGGAGGCAGCAGUGGGGAAUUUUGGACAAUGGGGGCAACCCUGAUCCAGCAAUGCCGCGUGUGUGAAGAAGGCCUUCGGGUUGUAAAGCACUUUUGUCCGGAAAGAAAACCUCUUGGUUAAUACCUGAGGGGGAUGACGGUACCGGAAGAAUAAGCACCGGCUAACUACGUGCCAGCAGCCGCGGUAAUACGUAGGGUGCGAGCGUUAAUCGGAAUUACUGGGCGUAAAGCGUGCGCAGGCGGUCUGUUAAGACCGAUGUGAAAUCCCCGGGCUUAACCUGGGAACUGCAUUGGUGACUGGCAGGCUUUGAGUGUGGCAGAGGGAGGUAGAAUUCCACGUGUAGCAGUGAAAUGCGUAGAGAUGUGGAGGAAUACCGAUGGCGAAGGCAGCCUCCUGGGCCAACAUUGACGCUCAUGCACGAAAGCGUGGGGAGCAAACAGGAUUAGAUACCCUGGUAGUCCACGCCCUAAACGAUGUCAACUAGUUGUUGGGGGAUUCAUUUCCUUAGUAACGUAGCUAACGCGUGAAGUUGACCCAGACCUAAAUAGCUUG
rnacentral:rRNA from 1 species